CGUCACAAUUGUUCUGCCAUUUGCAUACAACGUUUACCAGCACUAACCAACAUGGCGUCCGGUGUUGUGCUGUGUCGUGUGCUUUUGUAACUAAAACUCCGUUUUGACAUCACUUUCAUCAUAAUCUGAAUAAAAUAAUAAUAAUAA